GAUGAACGCUAGCGACAGGCUUAACACAUGCAAGUCAAGGGGCAGCAUAGAAGUAGCAAUACUUUGGUGGCGACCGGCGCACGGGUGAGUAACGCGUAUGCAACCUACCUAUCAGAGGGGAAUAACCCGGCGAAAGUCGGACUAAUACCGCAUAAAACAGGGGCACCGCAUGGUGAUAUUUGUUAAAGAAAUUCGCUGAUAGAUGGGCAUGCGUUCCAUUAGGUAGUUGGUGAGGUAACGGCUCACCAAGCCGACGAUGGAUAGGGGAACUGAGAGGUUGGUCCCCCACACGGGUACUGAGACACGGACCAGACUCCUACGGGAGGCAGCAGUGAGGAAUAUUGGUCAAUGGGCGGGAGCCUGAACCAGCCAAGUCGCGUGAAGGAAGAAGGAUCUAUGGUUCGUAAACUUCUUUUGCAGGGGAAUAAAGUGCAGGACGUGUCCUGUUUUGUAUGUACCCCGAGAAUAAGGAUCGGCUAACUCCGUGCCAGCCGCCGCGGUAAUAC
rnacentral:rRNA from 1 species